AUUCGCGGCCUAUCAGCUUGUUGGUGAGGUAAUGGCUCACCAAGGCGUCGACGGGUAGCCGGCCUGAGAGGGUGACCGGCCACACUGGGACUGAGACACGGCCCAGACUCCUACGGGAGGCAGCAGUGGGGAAUAUUGCACAAUGGGCGGAAGCCUGAUGCAGCAACGCCGCGUGAGGGAUGACGGCCUUCGGGUUGUAAACCUCUUUUAGCAGGGAAGAAGCGAAAGUGACGGUACCUGCAGAAAAAGCGCCGGCUAACUACGUGCCAGCAGCCGCGGUAAUACGUAGGGCGCAAGCGUUAUCCGGAAUUAUUGGGCGUAAAGAGCUCGUAGGCGGUUUGUCGCGUCUGCUGUGAAAUCCCGAGGCUCAACCUCGGGUCUGCAGUGGGUACGGGCAGACUAGAGUGCGGUAGGGGAGAUUGGAAUUCCUGGUGUAGCGGUGGAAUGCGCAGAUAUCAGGAGGAACACCGAUGGCGAAGGCAGAUCUCUGGGCCGUUACUGACGCUGAGGAGCGAAAGGGUGGGGAGCAAACAGGCUUAGAUACCCUGGUAGUCCACCCCGUAAACGUUGGGAACUAGUUGUGGGGUCCAUUCCACGGAUUCCGUGACGCAGCUAACGCAUUAAGUUCCCCGCCUGGGGAGUACGGAAU
rnacentral:rRNA from 1 species